UAUGGACUCUAUCCUGGACUUGAACUUACAAUCUUCCUGCCCAGCCUCUCAAGUAGCUGGGGUUAUAGUUGUACACAGAAGUGAAUGAUUUCUUCAGGGAAACAUUUUAAGGUGGGAAAAAGAAGUGGAAGCUUAAGGCCUGGAUUUCUUUUCAGAGAUAAGUUACAAACAAAAAGCUAUUUCCCUCCAAAUUCUAUUUUCCAGACAUGGUCCUGGCCAUUCAGUGGGUCAUGUGUCUUUUAGGGGUAUAAUCCCCAGAUGGGAACUAAGGAAAGUGACCAAUUAAUAUGACAGCAACAUCUGUCACAAGAAUUUCCUUACUACACUCUGUGGCUGUAACUGAGAUACUGCACCACUAUGACUGACCUUGGGAAAUGAAUGAUUUAAAUCCACUGCAGACAGCCCUGAACUUGAUGUCAGUGGAUCAGAAUCAAAUCCCACCUGGAACUAACACCCAAGACUUGCACAGAUAGAUGAUGGUUCUGUGGGAAAGAAAACUAUUUGCAUAACUGAAGGGAAAUUAUAUCCCCUACUCUUUCUUUACCAUCUCUGUCCUUCAUUUUUCUCUGCUCCUGCCUGCUUCUUCAGUUAAGCAAGGCCCUAACUGUUUUCUUCUUCAUCCUGCUCCAUUAACCUCAGUCUUCCUGCUUGGCAGAUGCAGGGACUUAACACCACUCGGUUCCUGUGUCAAGAUAAAAGUACCCCUACCUCAAGACACUUGACUGCCACCUGCUGGAAAGUGACUGUAGCACAUAUACAAAGCCUAAUCUAAGGACUACAGCAAGUUCCAGGCUUGAGAACUUUCACAGAUAAGAAUGGACCUUGCAUUAAGAGCAUUCACCGAUGUGAACAAAUCUCAGGAGUAGCUCACGUGUGUGCUGGACACUGUCACAGUUGUGCUGCUGUGUGCUUACUGGACAGUGCUCAGCCAGGGUGCAGGAUGUCCGGAAGCAAGAGGAAAAGCAGUGGUGAUGUGGAGGGGACUCUAGGAAAUGCAAAGCAAUAACCAUGGAAACAAAAGUGCAAAUAAUUGAGAGAUGAGACCGAGGCAAAAAGAUGGUAGAUGUGACUUCAUCAUCUUCCCCUACUCGCCCUCCUCCAGUUACUACUCUCCUCAUCAGUUCACUGCAUGAGAUCCCCUAGAUCAGCUGUACUGCACUACCAUGUUAAGCACUGGGGAUUGAAUGCAGGGCUUUUCACAUGAGAGAUCUCUCUCACUUUCCGGUAACGGAAAGCCAGUUUCCUCAUCCAGUCCACACCGCCCUGGACACCCACCGAAGAGCC